UCCAGUGGUUUAGACGCGAAGCGUUACUUGCUAGAGUCGUCGCCACCACCGCCGCCGCCACCGCCACUUGGCAGGUAUGGCACGAGCGCGUUGGCCAGGUUCUGCAUGGAGCGCGUCUGCACGAACACAGUGCCGGGCCCCGUGAAGUUCGCCACCAGCCCCUCGCCCGAAAUCACCGUGUUCCACAGCCCCUUAGCAGCCUUGGCGAUGUUCCACUCCAUGCCGCUGGUCCACGCCACGCAGUAGCCGUUGUCUGCGGGUGGGAGACACACAACCAGAGUCAUGUGCGCAUGAAUGAUGGUGAGCCGCGCCCUCCCGGCUAGCCUGCUAGGUCGGCAGGCCGCAAUGAUGUGGUUUGGGCCCUCCCAAGCACUCAUCAGGUGCAGAAACAUGCAACCAGCAGCCGGGAUCAAGCAAGCCCUCCCCGUCCUCUCCAGUGCGACGCCGCCCCAUCCACUCACCAAUCUUCCGCUUCUCGCCCGGCGCGAGGUCGUACCGCGUGAUGGCGCCGUAGGAGCAGAUGAGCAGCCGGCCGCGGCCGUUGGCCUCCAUCACAAAGAAGCCCUCGCCGCCGCAGCAGCCCUGGGAGGGAGCGUGAGCCAGUAUGCGUGCGAUGCAGUGCUAAUCACGUGUGGAGUACGUGGCGGCAGGUAUCCAACCCAGUCCUGUGCACGUCGAGGCAAAUCAUUGGGAAAGCCCCCGAUCCAUGUAUGGUACACGGCAAGCAUUCAUAGGACGUGCCGUUGCGCACACACCUGCGCAAUGUCCAGCAUCUUCACACCGAUGUUGACGCUGUGGUCACACGCCAGGUAGCCACCAGGCUGCACCACCCAGCCUGUCGGGCAGGACCCAAGGCACAGCGCGAAGUUUAGCAUAUCGUACACUAGCAUGGUGUAUGUGGUGCAGGCACACGCGUGUGACACCGCCUCAGCAGUCAGCCCCGUACGCGUGUGUUGUAACCGUCAUGGCACACAGCAGCUGUCUGUUAACACGCAUUGGAGUGCCGUAGCUGGUAGCAUCUGGGUCGGCCCCGCGCGGCCCAUGAGGGGAACCUGAUGGCAGUGAGCAGUACCACGCAUCCUCACCCUGCGCGCCAUCCAGGUGCAAUAACAUUAUCUCGCCAGGUACAGGCGGCGCAAGCAGCACAUCACCACGAGGACCCUGGCCAGGCUUGAUCCUGCGGCGGGCAGCGCAAAGGUGCUCGCUCAUGCGAAAAGGCAGUCGUGGCGUCGCCUGGGUGUGCUGGUGGCCACUGACCAAGAAGAUUGAAAGAGUCCAACGCACAGGAUACCCGAGCCCACACCUUCCCAUGUCCAAUAGCCCAGCACACACAACCACAAGCUCACGAGUAGUGGCUGAAGAACAUAGACCCGCCAGCGCAGCAGCAGCGAAGCAGGGAGCUGCCCAGACCGCCCUCCAUUUUGGUGUCGAUAUCCACGUUGCCGCUCAUGGUCACCAUCACGCUGCCCUGGCUCUUCAGCCCAUCGCUCUCGCUAAUGGCGCACUCCACUGCCACGAAAGCGCCUGUCGCGAGCACGUGUGAAAGGCAAACGGGCCCAACGUCGCAUACAGCACAUGGUGUGCGGACUUCAUAGCGGGCCCCAGAAAGUGUGCCCUCGACUGGAUACCGCGUUAACCGCUUGACAGACUGCCUCUCUUACCCUCGCACUUGAGUUUGUACUUCCCAGAGGGGUCAAAGUUGUUGUGCUGCUGAGCAGCCGCGCCUGUGGUGGGCGGCAGUGGGCGUCAUGCCGAAGAAACGCAAGCUCGCACUCGCAGUCAGGGAAACGAAGAUGGCAGCGCGAGCACCGCGCGUGAGAACCCGAUGCGACAUGUACAAAGAUAGCAUCGCAUGGAAAUUCGCAGCGACCAAAACGCUGCCCUGGAACGCAGGCUUGGGCGGGGUCCUAGCGUUUUGCCUGGGCACCAGCCGAUCGUGGGAUCGUGACUGGCAUCAACGCAAGAUAAACGCAUGAGCAUGGCUACGGUGGCUAGGCUCACCUACGAAGUGCACGUCCUCGGCUUUGACCGGAGCGGCCAUGUCUUCGCCCAGGAGUUAGCUGCCCGGUUGAGUAUGAGCUGCUGGAAAGGACAGUGAUGAGUUGCGACAGAGUGCGAUGCAAGUUGAGGCGCUCAAAAGUUCUGUCUAGUUCAAGUUCGCACGACUGCAUGCACUGGAUGGACGCCCACCGUCGGUGUGCGCGCCCCUCUCGUCAAGACCAGCAACCAAUCACCGCAAGUUGACACAAUACAUUCUCACCCACACAUACCGUAUACAAGUAAACAUAAGCGCCCGCCAUCAAACGCCGCUGGACCGCCGUGCCUGAGUGCCGCUCGGUGUCUCGGCACCUCACACACCAGACAUGCAUACCCAGCAGUCUGAGCACUAGCAAGCAACAGUUCAUGACUCGCGAGACAUCCACAUGGCACAUUCCUAACCAUGUAGGGACUGUCAGCUUAAGGAAGAUACCGAACGUGCCCGUCUGUGCCAGUACAACACCACAGCCGUCAGGCCAGCAGCCGGCAAUCGUGCUCAUGUCCAGCUUGCGUUCCGCCCUUUCCAAGCCAGCCAGCAGCUCCCAGAAAAGGUCCAUGAAACAAAGGUCGGAUAAUUUACUCUUGUUGCAUCCUAGUUACUUAAUUUAGUCAUUGUUGAUGUCAAUCCCACUACUGUCACCGCCGCUGCUGGGCUUGGGCAGGUACGGUACGAGUGCGUUGGCCAGGUUCUGCAUGGAGCGCGUCUGCACGAACACAGUGCCGGGCCCCGUGAAGUUCGCCACCAGCCCCUCGCCCGAAACCACCGUGUUCCACAGCCCCUUAGCAGCCUUGGCGAUGUUCCACUCCAUGCCGCUGG
rnacentral:lncRNA from 1 species